CCAGUAGGCGGCCGGUGUCGGCGGCAGAGCUAUGGAGAACGGCACCGUGUACAACCCCACCACCGAGCCGCAGGCCAAGGCAUCCCGCCGCCCCUUCGGCUGCACCCUGCGGCACCUGAGAGGAUGGCGGCUGCCGUUCAAAGCGCUCCAAGCCAUUUUAUCUCUUUUGGCAGUUAUUUGUGAGGAGAUUGUGGAGAAGUGUAUCAAGUGUGGCGGACUUUACUUCUUUGAAUUCGUAAGCUGCAGCGCCUUCCUUCUGAGCCUCCUGAUCUUCUGUGCAUAUUGCACUGAUGUAUAUGAAACGUUUGGGGAAGAUAAAGUGCAGAGAGUGAAUUUUUGGGCCAUGCUAGCCAUAGGUGUCCUUUUUCUGAUAGCGUCAAUAGUGUUUGCUGCCACCAGUUUGGGGUCUGUGGAAGCAGCUGCAUAUGUGUUUGGAUUUCUUGCAAGUAGUGCAUUUUUGGCAGAAAUUGCUGUAGAGUAUUUUCACAUUCAGAAACAGAAGGUUGACAAACGCCCUGAAAAUCCUGGCAACCCUCUGAGUGUCACAGAAAAUCAGCCACUUAAUAAACAAACCUAACCUUCUGAAAUUAUUUAAUUAUUUUCUUCAGUGGAGCAAACUUAAUGAACUUUCAGUGCACUGCAACAAACAGGUAAGGGACACUACUGAUGCAACAUGUAUCUGACAAGUGACAGACACAUCAGACCAGAUGUUGAUGGCUAAAAGAAAUGAAGUGAUGAAAAGGUAUUUUUCAGAUGUCCAAGGUAGAAGCAAGACUGCUAGACCUCACUUAAGAGAAAAGCCUUCAAAAGUAGGGCAAAUUGCUGUAGUCCAGGAGAUGUUGCAAAAUACCAAAGCAAAUGGAAAAAAAGCUGAUUAUGCAAAAGCAUUUCUUGUUUUAGCAAGUUGAGUUUUAACACAGUUGACAUGUCUUCCAGGCAUUAAUUCCAUUUCAUCAAUACCCUAGUCUGACAGAUUUUACAGUCCUGUAAACUGUUGUGGCAGCAUUGAGACCAAGCCCUCCAGAAAUUGGCUGAGCAAUCUGUAUCUGCAGAAGGAUGAGGAAGCUGUUGAAAGACAAAGGACUGUAAAAGAAGGUCCAAGUCUUUUUCCAAUGCUGCCACUUUCUGAUGAAGAGGAGCUUGUGAUGUUCUCUCUCUAAGGUCUGAGACUUAAGCCUAUCACUACACUUUGCUUGGAGGAUGUAAAUUUUUGAUAGGUAAUGGGAAGUAUCAAGUUUAAUCUGUAUAUCUUGGUUUCAGAGUCAUUCAUAAAAGACAUACUUUCCUUCCCAGAAUUUCCUGCUUUUUGAAGAAGAAAUUAUCAUUGGUCUGGCUUUUUUUCCCCCUUGUAUUUGUUAGUGUCCAUUUGCACUAAAACCUGAUCUCAGUCUAGUUGCAGAGGGCUUGUUAUAGCUGUCUCUGAAAAUUGGGUAGAUUAAAGAUGGUUUUUUUACAAGCCAUGUUACCGGUGAUAGGAUAUGUGCCAUAAUGAGAAAUACCUCUGUUAGGAUUUGCAGUGUCUUACCUUGGGUAUUGUGUCCAUAUCUAUGAUUAAUAUUCUUAUGUGUUUUUCUUUUUUUAUCACCCAGGAUACUACUGAAUUUAUUUUCACAUCAAAAUGUCUGUAAUCUUGAAUCUUGAUCUAUAAUUAAAAGCUGUAAAUAUACUGAAAGAGUAACACUGUGCUGCUGAUACUUAUUAAGCAAUGCAGCACCAUUUGUUUUGAGAUAAUUUCCCCUGCAAAUUUUCUUAGCUUGAAAAUAUUUGAAUAGAAUGAUUGGUUUUGGUUGCUUUUUCUAUAGAAUUUUCCCCCUCUAAGUGCACUGCUAUUGGUGUCCAUUCCUGAACUGGAGAUUCAGGUCCCAAAAGGGAUCUGUAAAGUCAUCUCUCUGUCUCGGCCUCCCUAAUUAUAUCUACUACACAGAGGAACUGAAAUGCAGAGCAAGUUAUUGUUAGGAAAAGGAGUCAGUGGCAGAAGAAACUGGCUCUGACCAAGAUCUCCUGAAGUCCCCUGAGCAGACCAUAAAGCCUUUUGAAGCAAACGUUGCCAACCUUUGCAGAAUGGUUUGAUAGAUUGCCCUACUACAUACCUGCUGGCAUCCCUGUCUUGCUUCAGGUUGUUAGAGUGAGGGCGUUCUGGCAUGGGUUUUGUUUUCAUUUUAGCUGUUCCAGGUAGGUAGUUUAUACCCAUUCUCUCACCAGCUGACUGAUUCAUGUACAGAUUUGAGUAUCAGAUUGCAUGAAAUGAAAACUACUGACCCAUACUUCCCAUAUGUCACAGGAAUUUACUAAUAGGAAGAGUCCUGUUAUUCUUUCUAACAUCCCAGAUACUGUCUAGCUGGAACUGAUCUGUCACAUAGCAGUUACAUAUUAGGAGCAUAUGAGCCACAUAAUGGUUAUGGGUUCAAGGUAAUUGCUAAAGCAUUGCUUCUCAACUGGUUCUUGGCUCACAAAGCAGUUUCUGCAUGGUGGUGCUAUUAAUCCUAGGCUUAUAAGUAGGAGGUGUUCUUUUUGCUCUGUUUUAAAAUAGUUGAAAAGUAGGUUUGCUGGUGUGUGUGCUGUUCUCUGCUUCUGCCAGGUCAUUUCCUUAACUGUUUCAUCAGCUUCUGAAGAUAAAGGGGCAGGCCUGUGUCCCUCCUAGCCCUUCUCCCCUCAGAGACUAGGUGGGUGAGAGACUUUCUUGCUGCAACGGGUGAGCAGGCUGGUAUCCUGUAGUCUUAACAUGCUCCCUUCUUUGCUUCUGGUGUUGGAUGCAGGUUUUGGGUGUCUUGCCUUGUAAUUAGACGGAUCCCAGGGAAUGGUACUGGAGCUGCAUCAAACAGCUCUUUGUGCAGGAGCUCAGUAUGUGUGGCUGGAUGUCUCUUACUCUUCUCAUGCUCUGUCAGCAAAGCAGUCUGCUUGUUUCCCAGCCUGUGUCUGAUUAAAUCAGCCUGCUUUAUUUAAACCAGCCAUUUAAAUUGCUUACAUUAAGGUGCCUUAUUUUGACUGAAGUGGAUUAGGGAUUGUUCAGGAAAGUGGUGGGAGCUCUGGUAGAAGUGCUGUUACAAGCAACUGUCUUAAAUUUUGUCUUUGUUACUGCAAAGUAACCAUCUCUGUACAACCUUAACUGGUAGUAGAACUUGUGGAAAGAAGCAACUGGCCCAGUAAGUUUACCUGAGGGUUGGCAUCUCCCCUUUUCACCACAGUGCUUGGCAGUGGUGUUGCGAGCCUGCUCAGACACAUAAAAAGCUUUUGUCUUCUCUGUUGAGCCCAUCUAAAAAAUAUUUAAGGGCUCUGGACCCACAUUCAGGCUUUGUUUACAGUGCCUUGAGAAUUAGAGCAGAGGAUUCUUCAGGACAUGUGAAGACUUGUUAAGUGGCUGGCCUGUGAGUUUCUGCUCUGAGAAUGUGCCUGUGCCUUGUGCAGACAAUGAAUGUUAAUUUUUGUGUUUGAUGCUUAGCCCACAUUAAAAUCACAGUGCUACAGGUGCCCUUUGGGUUCUAAAUAUGUCAAAGUAUUGUGCCUUACUGCUUGCACCUGGUGCUUAAGAAAUAGCAGGGAAGGGUUGUGGUGUGUUACAGCUGAGUUCUACCUUUGCACUCUGCAACUUGAAAAAGCAGGGAGUUAUCUCACCCGGUUCUCAGGGCUCUGCACAAGGUGUUUUUGCAUAAAGGACAUCACAGUGAUCCCUGUUCAAAUUGGUGCAAUAAAAAUACCAAGCUUUCUGCACUGAUGGGAAAUACUUAGUGAAAUUUUUGAAGGGUUAUAUAAAAUUGUAACGAUAAAUCAAGAUGCUGACAGUGCCUUUAAGAUGGAAAUUCAUCUUUGUUAUAGUGUAUUGCUGUAAACAUAAGCAAUUCUCUAGAUAUUAAAUUUUAUGCUGUUCAGAACUAUUUGUCACUUUUAAUACCUUUGAGAGUCUUAAGUAACUUUUAAUGAUUAUUAAGUCAGGAAGAUAGCACAGUAGUUUUAUAUAUAUAAUAAAAA